CAGUCGUGCGCUGUGCAAUUCAGCUCUGGUUCUCCAGAGUGUAUUUUGUACUAUUGCAGGCCAACAUCGGUUUUGCGAGUCGGAUAAAGGUUUGAGGAAUGUGGCAGCUUGCUGCGUUAUAGCCUCUUGUUGUACACGGUGCCUGGGAUUGAGGACUGCAGCACGCCUUUGGUAGGGGUUCGCCCACUCCCACGUGCUUAGGAUGCUGGCGUAAUGGCUUUAAACGACCCGUCUUGAAACACGGACCAAGGAGUCUAGCAUAUA
rnacentral:rRNA from 1 species